rnacentral:misc_RNA from 1 species
GAUGAAGAACGCAGCGAAAUGCGAUACUUGGUGUGAAUUGCAGAAUCCCGUGAACCAUCGAGUCUUUGAACGCAAGUUGCGCCUCAAGCCAUUAGGUUGAGGGCACGUCUGCCUGGGCGUCACAUAUCGUUGCCUGAUGCCAGUUUCCUCGUGAUGGGUGACUGUGCAGGGCGAAUGAUGGCUUCCCGUGAGCAUUGUUGCCUCAUGGUUGGUUGAAAAUUGAGUCCUUGGUAGGGAGCGCCGUGAUAGAUGGUGGUUGAGUGACGAACGAGACCCAACCAUGUGAGACCCCUACCGAAUUUGGCCUUCAUGACCCACAUGCGUCUUUGGAACGCUCAUGACGAGACCUCAGGUCAGGCGGGGCUACCCGCUGAGUUUAAGCAUAUCAAUAAGCGGAGGA